rnacentral:rRNA from 1 species
GACGGAGCGGCGAACGGGUGAGUAACACGUAAGAAACCUGCCCCUUAGAUCGGGAUAGCCCAAAGAAAUUUGGAUUAAUACCGAAUAAUCUCACAGAGUCGCAUGUCUCUGUGAGGAAACACUCAGGUGCUAAGGGAUGGUCUUGCGGUCUAUCAGCUUGUUGGUGAGGUAAUGGCUCACCAAGGCUACGACGGAUAGCUGGUCUGAGAGGAUGAUCAGCCACACUGGAACUGAGACACGGUCCAGACUCC